rnacentral:tRNA from 1 species
AGCAAUAAAAGUCAAAGUACUGCCUGUCACGCAGGGGGUCGCGGGUUCGAGUCCCGUCCGGACCGCCA